rnacentral:rRNA from 1 species
UACGUAGGGAGCAAGCGUUGUUCGGAUUUACUGGGCGUAAAGGGCGCGUAGGCGGCAACUCAAGUCAUCUGUGAAAUCUCCGGGCUUAACUCGGAACGGUCAGAUGAUACUGUUUUGCUAGAGUGCAGAAGGGGCAAUCGGAAUUCUUGGUGUAGCGGUGAAAUGCGUAGAUAUCAAGAGGAACACCUGAGGUGAAGACGGGUUGCUGGGCAGUAACUGACGCUGAGGAGCGAAAGCGUGGGGAGCGAACAGG